rnacentral:rRNA from 1 species
UUUAUGGAGAGUUUGAUCCUGGCUCAGGAUGAACGCUGGCGGCGUGCCUAAUACAUGCAAGUCGAGCGAACGGACGAGAAGCUUGCUUCUCUGAUGUUAGCGGCGGACGGGUGAGUAACACGUGGAUAACCUACCUAUAAGACUGGGAUAACUUCGGGAAACCGGAGCUAAUACCGGAUAAUAUUUUGAACCGCAUGGUUCAAAAGUGAAAGACGGUCUUGCUGUCACUUAUAGAUGGAUCCGCGCUGCAUUAGCUAGUUGGUAAGGUAACGGCUUACCAAGGCAACGAUGCAUAGCCGACCUGAGAGGGUGAUCGGCCACACUGGAACUGAGACACGGUCCAGACUCCUACGGGAGGCAGCAGUAGGGAAUCUUCCGCAAUGGGCGAAAGCCUGACGGAGCAACGCCGCGUGAGUGAUGAAGGUCUUCGGAUCGUAAAACUCUGUUAUUAGGGAAGAACAUAUGUGUAAGUAACUGUGCACAUCUUGACGGUACCUAAUCAGAAAGCCACGGCUAACUACGUGCCAGCAGCCGCGGUAAUACGUAGGUGGCAAGCGUUAUCCGGAAUUAUUGGGCGUAAAGCGCGCGUAGGCGGUUUUUUAAGUCUGAUGUGAAAGCCCACGGCUCAACCGUGGAGGGUCAUUGGAAACUGGAAAACUUGAGUGCAGAAGAGGAAAGUGGAAUUCCAUGUGUAGCGGUGAAAUGCGCAGAGAUAUGGAGGAACACCAGUGGCGAAGGCGACUUUCUGGUCUGUAACUGACGCUGAUGUGCGAAAGCGUGGGGAUCAAACAGGAUUAGAUACCCUGGUAGUCCACGCCGUAAACGAUGAGUGCUAAGUGUUAGGGGGUUUCCGCCCCUUAGUGCUGCAGCUAACGCAUUAAGCACUCCGCCUGGGGAGUACGACCGCAAGGUUGAAACUCAAAGGAAUUGACGGGGACCCGCACAAGCGGUGGAGCAUGUGGUUUAAUUCGAAGCAACGCGAAGAACCUUACCAAAUCUUGACAUCCUUUGACAACUCUAGAGAUAGAGCCUUCCCCUUCGGGGGACAAAGUGACAGGUGGUGCAUGGUUGUCGUCAGCUCGUGUCGUGAGAUGUUGGGUUAAGUCCCGCAACGAGCGCAACCCUUAAGCUUAGUUGCCAUCAUUAAGUUGGGCACUCUAAGUUGACUGCCGGUGACAAACCGGAGGAAGGUGGGGAUGACGUCAAAUCAUCAUGCCCCUUAUGAUUUGGGCUACACACGUGCUACAAUGGACAAUACAAAGGGCAGCGAAACCGCGAGGUCAAGCAAAUCCCAUAAAGUUGUUCUCAGUUCGGAUUGUAGUCUGCAACUCGACUACAUGAAGCUGGAAUCGCUAGUAAUCGUAGAUCAGCAUGCUACGGUGAAUACGUUCCCGGGUCUUGUACACACCGCCCGUCACACCACGAGAGUUUGUAACACCCGAAGCCGGUGGAGUAACCUUUUAGGAGCUAGCCGUCGAAGGUGGGACAAAUGAUUGG